CGAGUGAAGCGGGAAGAGCUCAAAUUUGUAAUCUGGCACUUUCAGUGUCCGAGUUGUAAUCUCGAGAAGUGUUUUCCGCGCUGGACCGCAUACAAGUCUGUUGGAAUACAGCGUCAUAGUGGUGAGAACCCCGUAACUGAUGCGGAUGCCCAGUGCUUUGUGAUACACUUUCGAAGAGUCGAGUUGUUUGGGAAUGCAGCUCAAAAUGGGUGGUAAAUUCCAUCUAAAGCUAAAUAUUGGCGAGAGACCGAUAGCGAACAAGUACCGUGAGGGAAAGAUGAAAAGCACCUUGGAAAGGGAGUUAACAGUACGUGAAAUUGUUGGAAGGGAAACGCUUGAAGUCAGACUUGCUAUGUGGAUUUAUUCGCUUCGCAGGCCAGCAUCAGUUUCUGGGGGUGGAAAAGGGUUGGGAGAAUGUAGCAACUCCGGUUGUGUUAUAGCUCCUUUCUGGAUUCAUCUUUGGGGACUGAGGAACGCAGCGCGCUUUUUGCAAGGCUCUCGAGCUUUUCGCGCUUAGGAUGCUGGUGGAAUGGCUUUAAACGACCCGUCU
rnacentral:rRNA from 1 species